rnacentral:rRNA from 1 species
UACGUAGGGUGCGAGCGUUGUCCGGAAUUACUGGGCGUAAAGAGCUCGUAGGUGGUUUGUCGCGUCGUCUGUGAAAUUCCGGGGAUUAACUUCGGGCGUGCAGGCGAUACGGGCAAUACUUGAGUGCUGUAGGGGAGACUGGAAUUCCUGGUGUAGCGGUGGAAUGCGCAGAUAUCAGGAGGAACACCGAUGGCGAAGGCAGGUCUCUGGGCAGUAACUGACGCUGAGGAGCGAAAGCAUGGGUAGCGAACAGGAUUAGA